rnacentral:lncRNA from 1 species
GUUCAGCACGCCUUAGUUUUGAAAUCACUAAAAAUAACCUCAUUGAUAAAAAGGCAAGCAGAAGCUGCAGCUGGUGCUCUGCAGCAAGCACGGGUGGGGCAGAGCCCACGGGAAGUGCGGGGACACGACUUGGUGGGAGCUACUCAUGAGGGUACCCAGCCCCCCGAGGAAGAAGGCUGUCACAACAUGGGGACUGGCACUGCAUAUUUGCAGUAUGCCAUUAGUUUAGAUCCUGUGGAAAGAGGGACCCAAACUCUGCUCCACUUAACCCAAAGCACUGCAUAGAAGAUGCCUCUGCAAGCUCUGUUUCCAUGGAAAUGAGCGUUAGUGUUAGCUUCCCCCAGCAAAGUGAAUCUAUCAGACCAACUUCAGCAAAACAGUACUUCCCAGUGAUUUUCAGAAUCCAGGAGCAAUUCAGCAUGGCGAACAAUGGCAAGCAAGACAUGUCAUCAAUUAGUUCAGUUCCCUGCAUUUUGCAAUGA